rfam:Morus notabilis contig4527, whole genome shotgun sequence.
UUUGAGGCAGUGAUGUUGAUAAACUACCUAUUUUCUGAGGGAAAUUCUAAUCUUUUCCCUUUUGAUUACAAAAACACCAAUGGAUCCUUCUGAGCCCUCAA